AUGCACGCUGGCGGCGUGCCUCAUCCAUGCCAGUCGCGCGAACAGACGAGGAGCUUGCUCCUCUGACGUUAGCGGCGGACGGGUGAGUAACACGUGGAUAACCUACCUAUAAGACUGGGAUAACUUCGGGAAACCGGAGCUAAUACCGGAUAAUAUAUUGAACCGCAUGGUUCAAUAGUGAAAGACGGUUUUGCUGUCACUUAUAGAUGGAUCCGCGCCGCAUUAGCUAGUUGGUAAGGUAACGGCUUACCAAGGCAACGAUGCGUAGCCGACCUGAGAGGGUGAUCGGCCACACUGGAACUGAGACACGGUCCAGACUCCUACGGGAGGCAGCAGUAGGGAAUCUUCCGCAAUGGGCGAAAGCCUGACGGAGCAACGCCGCGUGAGUGAUGAAGGUCUUCGGAUCGUAAAACUCUGUUAUUAGGGAAGAACAAAUGUGUAAGUAACUAUGCACGUCUUGACGGUACCUAAUCAGAAAGCCACGGCUAACUACGUG
rnacentral:rRNA from 1 species